CAGCAGCCGCGGGAAUACAGAGGGUGCGAGCGUUAAUCGGAUUUACUGGGCGUAAAGCGUGCGUAGGCGGCUUUUUAAGUCGGAUGUGAAAUCCCUGAGCUUAACUUAGGAAUUGCAUUCGAUACUGGGAAGCUAGAGUAUGGGAGAGGAUGGUAGAAUUCCAGGUGUAGCGGUGAAAUGCGUAGAGAUCUGGAGGAAUACCGAUGGCGAAGGCAGCCAUCUGGCCUAAUACUGACGCUGAGGUACGAAAGCAUGGGGAGCAAACAGGAUUAGAUACCCCUGUAGUCCUGUCUCUUAUACA
rnacentral:rRNA from 1 species